UACGGAGGAUUCAAGCGUUAUCCGGAUUUAUUGGGUUUAAAGGGUGCGUAGGCGGCAUUAUAAGUUAGUGGUAAAAUAUUGGGGCUUCACCUCACUACGCCAUUAAUACUGUAGAGCUAGAGUACAGACGAGGUAGGCGGAAUAAGUUAAGUAGCGGUGAAAUGCUUAGAUAUAACUUAGAACCCCGAUAGCGAAGGCAGCUUACCAGACUGUUACUGACGCUGAAGCACGAGAGCGUGGGUAGCGAACAGG
rnacentral:rRNA from 1 species